CCGGUGGCUCGGAGGAGCUAGCGCCUUCCUCGCCCCCUCCCCCUCGCCGCGCGGGGCCAGCCCGGCCGCUCCUCCCCUGGGUGGGUCCCCGCUCCUUUUCUGGCAGGGUCUAUUUGCAUAGAGGAAACUGCCCAAAGUGGCCGCUGCGGAGGAGCUGGCGGCGGCGAAGGGGGCGUGCGCGGCGAUCCGCUGCUACCCGGCGGCUAAGCCCCGCGCCCGCGGACCUCGUGCCUUGGGCUGUCCCGCCUGCUUCUCUUGCACUCAGCCUCUACCCCAGCUCAGCACCGCCCCCUCGGAGAGUCCACGCGCGACAAACGCGCCAUGGGCCCAGGCGAGCGCGCCGGUGGCGGCGGCGACGCGGGGAAGGGCAAUGCUUCGGGCGGCGGCGGCGGCGGCGGAGGGCGCUCGGCAACGCCGGCCGGGUCCCGGGCGGUGAGCGCGCUGUGCCUGCUGCUCUCCGUGGGCUCGGCGGCUGCCUGCCUGCUGCUGGGUGUCCAGGCAGCCGCGCUGCAGGGCCGGGUGGCGGCGCUCGAGGAGGAGCGGGAGCUGCUGCGGCGCGCGGGGCCGCCCGGCGCCCUGGACGCCUGGGCCGAGCCGCACCUGGAGCGCCUGCUGCGGGAGAAGUUGGACGGACUAGUGAAGCUCCGGACUGUUCGGGAAGCCCCAUCCGAAUGUGUCUGCCCCCCAGGGUGUGCUGAGUUAGACGUGCCAUCUGGAGCAGGCAGGAAGCCAGACAAGCGGCGAGUCCACACCACCGCUGGUUGGUACUGACCACCCCACAUCUGCCUGCCCCUGCCCGCCAGCCCCUCAGAGGACUCACUGCCGUUGAAUCUCCGGAACAAUCUACUUAUUUACCGCGUGUAGGGCAAUCACUCCGCCUCCCUCUCCCGUGAGAACGUGACAGCCACCCGGCGGGGACUUUGCGCUUCUGUUCAGUGCUGUGUUCCCUGCGCCAAAGGGCUCAGAGCCUGAGGAAUAUUCUAGAGAGGGCCAGAAAGCACGCUGAGGCCAGAGUGGGUCGCUUCCUAUUUCAGGCUCUGAAAGUGGCCCAGCCUUGCCCUGGGUGCUGUGGGCCGGUCCACCAGGAGGAGUUCCUCGAGGCUGCACAGCAGGCUUGCUCGGAGGCCCGUGUCAGAGGGGUUAUCUGCCUCUGUGUGAAGAAUGCUUUUAAACCCGUGCCUGGGUUGCUGACCUUCUGAGAGAGAAAACAGAUGCACCAUUUAACCCUCCUUGCUCCAGGGGAGCCCAGCAUCUCCGGUUUUAGGGAGUCCAGUCAAGCUAAAGAAUGUCAGACUUUUGCACCCUAGGGGUUAAUGAGAGCCUGAUGUUCUCAGUCCCAGAGCUCACUGCAGGAUCUCCGAACCCCCAACCUCUGAAGCUAUCACCUGUCAGCGUUCUGAUUAACAACUGGAAGGCCGACCCCUGUUUUCGGUGGGUUCGGUGCGCAUGCUGUGCAAGGCUGUGAAGGUGGAAGUGCUAUUUUCUUUAGCCACUGGGAGGUCAGGAGCACUUAAUGAGGCCCCUACCCCCACCUGGCUGGGCUUUGGAUAUGAUUUUUAAAUCAAAGGAACUAUUUUUAGGGCCCUACUCAAAGCUACCUCUUGUUCAUGUUAACGAUCAUGUAUUAAAACCGUGUUGUCAUUUACGAGGCAUUGUUCCGUAGGCAGCAGGGGCAUUUUGGAAGGAGACUGAGCUUAGAGCUGAAGACUUCCAUUCAAGCACAGAGCCACUGUGUAGCCUUGGGCAACUCACUUAACCUCUCUGAGCGCUGCCUCCUCAUCUGCAGAACUCUGUCAUGUGGAAUUGUGGUCAGGCUGAGGCCUCACGGGAUCUGAGAGCAACACCAACAUCUGGGGCAGUUUUGUUUGGCUUGCAGCGUCUUAAAGCAUUUGAAUCAUUAACUAUUUAAAAAUGUAGGUGUCCUUUAAAAAUCCAGCUUUCCCUCUUGUUUAAUGGUGAAGUGAGAAGCUCUAGCAGCAUGGAGCCGGCUUUCCUACACUUCCACGUCAAGGCUGAGUGAUGGCUGCAGCCUUCACAGGUAACCUGGGGCUGGACCUUAAGAAUAACAAUGUGCUUGUAAUCAUGUGUGUUACACCAGGAAGAAGCUAUUUACUGUGUCUAAGUGGGGUAUGUGCACAUUGAAGCCACCCAAGCGACCAUCAGUGGCUGAAUGGAUACACAAAACGUGGUAUACACAUAUGAUGGAAUAGUAUCGAGCCCCUAAAAGGAAGAAAAUUCUGACGCAUGCUCCAACUGGGAUGAACUUUGAGGAUAUCAUGCUAAGUGAAAUAAGCCAGACACAAAAGGGUAAAUACUGCACGCUUUUACUCAUAGGAGGUCCCUAGAGUAGUGAAAUUCAUCGAGAAAGUAGAGUGGUGGGUGUGGGGCUGCGGGAGUGGGGAAUCGGGAGUCCGUGUUUCAUGGGGAUAGGGUCUCAGUUUGGGAAGAUGAAAGAGCUCUGGCAAUAGACGGUGGUGAUGGUCGCACAGUAUCGCGAACGUACCCAAUGCCCUUGAGCUGUACACUUAAACGUAGUUAAGAUGGCACCUUUUGUGUUACGUGUGUGUUACUGCAGUAAAAAGGGGUAGGCGAACAGCUCCUGCCAGCUGGUGCUGGGGAGGCGUCACAUUUCUGCCCAUGAGCCUGGGCUUGUGUUCAUGCCCGGCCGGGAGGCCCACAACAAGAGGCUUGUGCCUCAGCCCGAGGUCUCUGCACGCCCAGGCUGGUUUCCGAAGGGCAGCAGGCCUCCUGGUAUUUACGCUACGUGGACCAGGCAGGCCAAAGGGCUCGUACCUGCACAGUGUCCGCAGCCACAAACGGAGGACCAGAUGUUUGAGCUCUUCCUUGUUUAUAAACGAAACGUCCGUUCCCAUCCAGACCCGUGUGUUUACACCACGGCAGGGCUGGAGGCCGCUGUGCACACUGGGAAAGCAUCCCUGGGGAAGCCUCUGUCCCACUCGCCUCUCAGCUGUGACUGAGUGAGUUCAUCCACUUCUCCUCCCCCGGCUUCCUCAUCGGCAAAGCAGAGACACUGACAAUACCUGCCUCAUAGGCUGAGGUCCCAGUGGCUGUUGCCAAGGUGCCGGGGACAAGGUGUGGCAUGCACAAAGUGCUCCUGUUAUCAUGAUUAUCGUGAUUAUUCCUGCAUCUUUUCCUGCCCUUUCCUCCCAUCCUACUCCCACACCUUUCCAGACCCAAUAACGGUUUCACUCCACCUCACAGCCUCAGCCCAGGAAGAGAAUACCAAAUCCAAACACAUCUUGACCUUUCUCAGAAAAGAAACUGAUUUCCAUACAUCUGAUGACAAGCAGUUUUCUAAAACAGUUAAAAUUCAGAAAUGCUGAUUUGUUCUCUGGAAAGAAUAGAAAGAAAUCCUUCAUUUGCUUGCGUCUUACGUAGCCUGAUGUGAAAACGGUGCUUGUAGCUUACGGGUGUGCAGCUCUCAAGAUAACUGGAACCUUUGGAGCAGAAAGCCCAUCCACGCUGCCGAAGUUCAGUUACACGUAAAGAAACACUUCCCUUUGUGUCGCGUGCGACGAGGCGUGAAAUGGCACCUAACCGUCCGCUGACUUGGCCUUUGCACAUUCAGCCCUUGCAACCUUUGGGUAAGGUACGUGGUGCCAGCCUUCAGCUGGUUCUGCUUCGCUAAUUAUUCCGAACAAAGAGCAAACGCUGCCUUCCUGCUUCUCUCCUCCGUGUUCCGCAGUCGUCUGCUCUCCGUCAAUUUUCACUGAGUUUCACACCGAUUUCCAUUUUGGCUCCAGCUCUGAAGACGGAACCAUGGGGACAUCGGUUAAUGAAAAAUCUGGGAAAUUUGAUUUGAGAAACAUUCUUUUGCCACAGGCAUCUAAUUGUUAAGAGGAUCUGACUCGUAAUUUGUAUUAAAUUUGUUAAAUCUCAGAAGGUUUUGAUGUUUUUGUUUUUGUUGUUUCAGUAAUGCAGAGUCAAAAUUAAGUUUAAAAAUGGUUCUAACUUUGUAUUUGGCCUGGAUGUGCAUCUUCAUCAGCUGUUAUGGAUGCAGAAUAUUGAACAGCACAACAAUAGUAAUUGGGGAUUACUCAAUGGGGGUGAUUUAUAGAAACUUGAAGCUCUUAACAUAAUCUUUUAUUAAAAAUGCUUCCUCUUAUUGUGCCUGAUUUAAUACAGAUUCUUCUCUUUUGUUCUUUAUUCCUUUAAAUGACUGAAAUAAGUUAAAUGCAUGCAGGUUUAUCUUAGCCUCAAAUGCAAAGAUAAAAGGAAUCAAUAUGAAAAGCACCCUAUAAGUUACAUCAGUGACAGAAGAAUGUUGAAUUUUCAUUACUGACCAGAGUAAAUGCCUCAGCUGCUUUUGUUUAAAAGCUGUGUUGCAGAUUGGGCGA
rnacentral:lncRNA from 10 species